UGGCGGCAUGCCUUACACAUGCAAGUCGAACGGCAGCGCGGGAGCAAUCCUGGCGGCGAGUGGCGAACGGGUGAGUAAUACAUCGGAACGUGCCCAAUCGUGGGGGAUAACGCAGCGAAAGCUGUGCUAAUACCGCAUACGAUCUACGGAUGAAAGCAGGGGAUCGCAAGACCUUGCGCGAAUGGAGCGGCCGAUGGCAGAUUAGGUAGUUGGUGAGGUAAAGGCUCACCAAGCCUUCGAUCUGUAGCUGGUCUGAGAGGACGACCAGCCACACUGGGACUGAGACACGGCCCAGACUCCUACGGGAGGCAGCAGUGGGGAAUUUUGGACAAUGGGCGAAAGCCUGAUCCAGCCAUGCCGCGUGCAGGAUGAAGGCCUUCGGGUUGUAAACUGCUUUUGUACGGAACGAAACGGUCUUUUC
rnacentral:rRNA from 1 species